rnacentral:lncRNA from 1 species
AAAAGUGAGAAAUUUACAAAGGACGUUGGAUCCCAAGCAAAUUCUCAAGUAAGUGAACCGAAAAUUACUAAUAGUUUUGAUUUUAAGAAAAUUUUUGAAGUCCGAUAAUUAACCUAAAUAUCACUAAUUCAUUUUGGUCCUUGAUCGCGAUUAUGACUUAAAAUGGUAAAAAUAAAGUUUGGUGUUGGUGCUACUUCUCAUUUAUGGAUAUUUACAAGGGACCUAGAUACAUGCUAAAGUCUCAAGCAAAAUGUAAAUAACAAGAAAAAUAAAAAUGCAUGAAUUAUAUUACAUCAAUUCCUAAAUACACACUAAAAAUCAAUGACAAUAAAAUAAAUGACAUGAAUUAAAAUAUGCAUGAGAGAAUUCUAAAUAAUAAUGCAAAUAUACUCUAGAAAUAAUUAAAAAAAACAGUAAAUGAACAAUUAACACAAAGCAAAAUAUUUUUUAAAGAAAAAAAAAACAGAGAAAAUGGUGUAAAAAUUAAAACAGUGGUGCAUUUAGCAAAACAGUAGAGAAAAAUUAAAUGAAAAUUGGCUCAGACUGGAUGAAUCUGGACCACUUGAUGAAUCAGGAGGUCCAGAUUCAAUCACUGUAUCAUCUUAUCACAGCCACUGGAUCAGAUAUCCAAGGGUUUUAAAAAAAACAGCACAAAAACAGAGAAAUAACACAAGAAACACAAUGACAGUCAAAGAUCUGACGGUUCAAACAGAAAAGACACUUUAGUUCACAUAGGAGAACACAUACAAGAUUUAAAACCAGAUCACACAGUAGCCAUCAGAUCUUGGAACUAUCCAGAUCUGAUGGCUCACAACACGAGGGAACACUGAAUUGCAGUUUACGCGCGUAUACAUGAUUGGACAAAAACAUCCAAUUUUUUUAACGUUUUUAAACAUCCAUUUUCUUGCUUUACAUGAAUCCGAGCUUAAUUUUUGAAAACAAGUCCCAAACGGAGUAGAUUUGAGUUUUAACUUAAAAAAUUUUCAAAGAGAAAACACAAAAACGUGGAAAAAAAUCUUCUACAUCUUUACCUCGAGUUGAAUCCGCUACGGUUUACCUCCUCUCCGUUGAACCACGCUCUGAUAUACUCUUUUUGCUCCGGUCCGGUUCUCUUCUUUCACUUCGGUCCGCGUUUAAGCCUUGUGCGGUUCGGUCUCGGUGGUUCCAAAGAAACCCGUAAGGUUUUGGGUUUUAAUGCUCAAAUCCGGAUUGGUUCUGUGAUUUUCAAGUAUUUGAGUAUAUUUGUGAUGAUUUUAAGACUUUUUGAGCAUUUAUGGUGAUUUUGGUUUGAAGGUUCUAUGGAGAAAAAAUUGUGAUGUUCUUGAUGUUCAUCACAAUUUUGUGAUGAUUUUUGUGGUUUGAUUUGAAAAGAGAAGAGAAAAAAAGUUUUUGGUGUUUGUGAAAUGACUACUACAGCUUUUUCUGACGCGUUUUUUCUGAGUGUGUCAGUGCAAUAAAUGGGGCCUUAAAUAGGAUAAAAUUCGGGUAUCCC